GAUGAACGCUGGCGGCGUGCCUAAUACAUGCAAGUCGAACGAAACUUCUUUAUCACCGAGUGCUUGCACUCACCGAUAAAGAGUUGAGUGGCGAACGGGUGAGUAACACGUGGGCAACCUGCCCAAAAGAGGGGGAUAACACUUGGAAACAGGUGCUAAUACCGCAUAACCAUAGUUACCGCAUGGUAACUAUGUAAAAGGUGGCUAUACUACCGCUUUUGGAUGGGCCCGCGGCGCAUUAGCUAGUUGGUAGGGUAAAGGCUUACCAAGGCAAUGAUGCGUAGCCGAAUUGAGAGGGUGAUCGGCCACAUUGGGACUGAGACACGGCCCAAACUCCUACGGGAGGCAGCAGUAGGGAAUCUUCCGCAAUGGGCGAAAGCCUGAUGGAGCAACGCCGCGUGGGUGAAGAAGGUCUUCGGAUCGUAAAACCCUGUUGUUAGAGAAGAAAGUGCGUGAGAGUAACUGUUCACGUUUCGACGGUAUCUAACCAGAAAGCCACGGCUAACUACGUG
rnacentral:rRNA from 1 species